UUUCACUGCUUUUGCUGCACUGCUUAGGGUCUCUAGUACAAUACUGAAAGAAGAGGUGACAAUGGAUAUUGUUAGUUUGUCCUUGAUUUACAAUAGCAUAUUUUCAAAUUCUCAAUAGUGAUGUUGACAGGAGGUUUUCUGCUGAUGUUCUGUGUCAGUUCUGAAUGUUUCUCCCCCUGUAAUUAGCUUUAAAGGAAAUUUUUAAUCAAAUCUGGAUACAGAAUUUUGAUUUUCUCCUGAAACUCUUGAGAUUAAUAUAUACACACAUAUUUAUAUGUAUUUGACUUUCAUAGUGUACAAUGUAAAUACAGUAAAUAACCAUUUUACCUUUCCUCUUCUUCAUUGCAUCUUCCUGGAUGGUAAGGUCCCAUCUUGAUGUUUCUAAGUGACAUAGAAAAGGCUGUAGGGCCAUAUCAACUCUGAAGCAAAUCUUUGGUUGUUAAUUUUUCACAGUGUUGUCUAUAGAAAAUCCCGUUUUGGGUGACAAGUCUUGACAAAUGAAGGCUUGCAUUUAAUGUAAAUAUUCUUUUCUAGAUUUACAUUUUUCUACUAUACUCACAUAUUUGCUUAAAAAUGUUCUCUCAGUUUUGGCAGAAACAUAAAUUAAUAAUAAAACUUCUAUAUAUACUCUCCAUGAAAUAAAAUUGCAAAAUUGAGUCUUUGUGUAGAAAUUACUAAAAUAGAAUUAUAUGUAAAAUUUCAUUUUCUUUUUUACCUCAAUGUGGAUAAACACAUAAACAAAUGCAUUCCACACACUCAAACAAGCAGUGAAUUUAAGUAGAGAUAUAUUAGCCUCUUGAAUUGACUUUACAAUAAUUCAUUUCACCAUUAUUUGUUUCUUUUUUCCUUUAAGUAGGAAAGUGGAUCCAUGGAGAGAUGGGAUUGUGCUUUCCCUCAGGGUUCCGGAGAAAGAAACAGAGUAUCACUGAGGCAGAGCCAGGUCAUACAUUAGCCUGCACUCAGAAAAGCAGAAACAAAGACUAUUUUAUGCUGUGGAGGAGAGACCACUGUCCUCUUCAAAUACUGUAUGUAUCACAGUUCCUGUAUUUCUGAGGUACAGAAUAGUCUCUCUAGGUGGAGAAUUAUGGAGAGAUUUCCAAGGUUUUCCUCAUAUGCUAAUCUAAUGAGUUACAAUAGCAUUCAAAUUUUACUUUGAGCUAGUCCAGUAUCCUAGUUUUCAUGAUCAUGUAUAAUCUUCCCUUGAGUGCAACCUAAAUAUUACACUUAAAAAUAUAGUUAAAAGGAAGAUAGGUCAGGGUACAAAGAGACUGUGACUUUAGUUGUGCCCACACGUCCACUCUGUCUGGCUCUCUCAGUGGUGCCAGUUGCCACGUCCUAUGCAAAGGCACACACAGCAAGGGACUCAUGUCUUCGUGCUAAUGGAACUGGAAGUGGAUCCUCCCCCAGUGGAGCUGUGAAAUCACAGCAGCCACUGCCAACAACUUAACUUAGUGAGAAGCCUUGCAACAUAGGCGCUAAAUUCAACUAUGCCUGGAGUCUGGCCACACUGAAACUGCGAUAAAAUGUGUAUUGCUUUAAACCAUUACAUUUUGGAGAAAAAACUUCAUAGAAAUAAUAAUGAAUACAUUUUCUUCUUGCUAGAAAUGAACCAAUAUUAAACUUGAAACACAUUUUUUUACUAUUUCAUUAUCCAUUUAGUAAACACUCCUACGAACCAACAAGAAUAUCUAUUGACGUUGAAGAAGUUCUUUUUUAAUAUCUUUUUUUGUUUUUUUUUUCUAAUUAAACCUUUUAUUUAAUGAGUAUGAAUUUAGUACAAAUUUCAUAAAUGUAACUUUAGGGAUAUAGUGAUUCUUCCCACCAUACCCACCCUCCUAUCCCCAUUCCCAUCCCACAUCCUCCUCCCUUUCCUAUUCCCAUUCAUUUUCAAUUAACUUUAUACUCCAAAUACCAGCUCUAUACUAAGUAAAUAUUUCAACAAUUUGCACAUACACACACACAAACUGUUUGAGAAUAAAUUUUACAGCUAAAUCUCA
ensembl:lncRNA